rnacentral:tRNA from 1 species
GCCGAUGUAGCUCAAUUGGUAGAGCAACGGUAUCGUAAACCGUAGGUNNAGGUCGUCGGUUCAAUUCCGACCAUCGGCUCCA